UUACCGAGGUGCCGAAGGGAAACCGUGAAACGUGCCGCCUGGGAAGUACGGUCGCAAGGCUGAAACUUAAAGGAAUUGGCGGGGGAGCACCACAACAGGUGGAGCCUGCGGUUUAAUUGGACUCAACGCCGGGAAGCUCACCGGAUAAGACAGCAGAAUGAUUGCCGGGCUGAAGACUCUGCAUGACUAGCUGAGAGGAGGUGCAUGGCAUA
rnacentral:rRNA from 1 species